UCCCUCAAGAAGCCUAUGGACUGGUAUGCAGGAGUGAUCCAGCUCUCAGAUUUCAUCAAAAAUAUCUUAAUUCAUGUUCCGAAGAUGUACGAAGGUCUUGCGGGGUUGAAACAACAUGAAGCUGAAUUGCAGGGCUGUACAUUGGGCUUGCAGAGGUGGAAGUCUCUCAGCGUUGAAAGUUCUUCAGGACAGGGGAGCUGAUAUCAACGUCAGAGACAAACUGCUUAGCUCACCUUCACAUGUGGCCACACGGACCGGUCACAGCGACGUGGUCCAACAUCUUCUAGCCAGUGGAAUCAAUAUCAAUGCCAAAGAUUGGGAAGGAGACACAGCUCUACAUGAUGUUGUCAGAUUAAAUCGAUAUAAAAUCGUAAAACUCCUCAUGCUGGCUGGAGCCGAUAUGCAGAUCAAGAAUGCUGUGGGCCUUACAGCCACUGAACAGGUGAAGCAAUGGCAGUUUCACACCAAGGAGACACUGGAGAAACUGGAACAGAUGAGGGAGGUCGGUCUGGCCUGACGGACACAUGGAGAUGCGCUGGAUUCAUUAGAGUCACUGUGACUCAACAACACCUCUGCCUGAGGUAUUUAAACCUGACCCGUGUCAUUGCAUCCUGCAGAGAUUUGAACGCAUAUGCCCUGACAGCUGAUCUCUUCAUAAAACACAGCACCACAGGGAGCCAUUUAUGACCGACGCCAUAAACACCAAUAGGUCGGUAAUGAGAAAUGUCGAUAAAAAUCUCACCCUGGAGAUCUAUUACCUUUAAUGUUAAAGAUGAGUGGUUCUCGCUUCCAAACAACAAGAAUCCCAUGUCUUAAAUACGGUGCAAUAUAUCAAACGUUGUUGUGACAACUAUGACCACACACAUAGUCUUUGCAUGUACCACAAUGUGUAUAUUUUAAAGCAAGAUAAAUAUGGAAUAGCUAAAACCGUAAACUAAUUGUAAGGUAAUUGAUUGUCUAUAGAAGUUUUCAAACUUCAUUUCUUUUACCUAAAGACCGUGAACAAACACUCACAGUGUAUAAUGGGGUAUAAUGUGGUCUCUGAUGAUUGUCCUUCACUGGUAGUAAAUCAGCAUGGCAAUAAUGCCCCUGGGAAAUGUGCAGUUGAGUCCAUAUGCCCCAGAGUCACAGGAUGGGCCCUGCAAGCAUCACUACACAUGAGUGCCCAUCCAGCACAACAUGAAGACUGACCACACUACGAGCACACAUCAUUGCGAUAUAGAGUCUGCUCUCCUUGCAAGAAAAAUAGCAAAGGUCAACUUGUAAAGCAGGAAGGAUGGUGGAACAGAGGUUGUUGACGAGGGUCGUCUCACUGACCGAGCCUAAAUUGACCUAUAAUUCUCUGCAAGCCAUAACACAUGAGUAAAGUUUGUCGUACGUGAUCGGUGCAUCCAACAUCAAGGUUAGAGAAGUCACGCUAUCACACUCCGGUUCUAAAUCUCCAGUCCCCAAAUGGAGCGAGGCUUUUAUUACACAAGCAAUUGCAUUAUCCAUUAAUCUACCCUCUUUGUGAUAAAAAAGAUAGGAUUAUUAAAGGACAUAUUUUUCGCAGCAAAUAAAUUUUUUCUUUCAUCUGUCGAGGCCAGAGCCGAUCAAAUGCAUUAUUUUUACUUAGGUGUCUGCCAUUAUUUAUAGCUUUAUUUCUCAACAAUUAGGCGUCUAGAAAUUAGGAUAUAUUGAUCUCAUAAAUUGGUUUAGGUGUUUUCCUGAG